rnacentral:rRNA from 1 species
UAAUACGAAGGUCCCAAGCGUUAUCCGGAUUUAUUGGGUUUAAAGGGUGCGUAGGCGGACUAUUAAGUCAGUGGUGAAAUCUCCAUGCCUAACAUGGAAACUGCCAUUGAUACUGAUGGUCUUGAGUACACUUGAAGUGGGCGGAAUGUGUCAUGUAGUGGUGAAAUACUUAGAUAUGACACAGAACACCGAUUGCGAAGGCAGCUCACUAAAUUGUAACUGACGCUGAGGCACGAAAGCGCGGGGAGCAAACAGGAUUAGAUACCCUGGUAGUCCGCGCCCUAAACGAUGAUCACUCGAUGUGUGCGAUACACUGUACGCGUCCGAGCAAAAGCAUUAAGUGAUCCACCUGGGGAGUACGGCCGCAAGGCUG